rnacentral:rRNA from 1 species
CAGCAGCCGCGGUAAUCCGUAGGGUGCGAGCGUUAAUCGGAAUUACUGGGCGUAAAGCGUGCGCAGGCGGUUUUGUAAGACAGGCGUGAAAUCCCCGGGCUCAACCUGGGAAUGGCGCUUGUGACUGCAAAGCUAGAGUGCGGCAGAGGGGGAUGGAAUUCCGCGUGUAGCAGUGAAAUGCGUAGAUAUGCGGAGGAACACCGAUGGCGAAGGCAAUCCCCUGGGCCUGCACUGACGCUCAUGCACGAAAGCGUGGGGAGCAAACAGGAUUAGAUACCCGAGUAGUCCCUGUCUCUUAUAC